UCCGGUUUGACACCGGCAGUCUCCCUAGAGUGCCCAACUGAAUGAUGGCAACUAAGGGCGAGGGUUGCGCUCGUUGCGGGACUUAACCCAACAUCUCACGACACGAGCUGACGACAACCAUGCAGCACCUCGGCUGGCUCCCUUACGGUUCGUCUCCUGUUUCCAAGAUUCUACUACUAGCACUUCAAGCCCAGGUAAGGUUCUUCGCGUUGCGUCGAAUUAAACCACAUGAUCCACCGCUUGUGCGGGCCCCCGUCAAUUCCUUUGAGUUUCAACCUUGCGGCCGUACUCCCCAGGCGGCUCACUUAAUGCGUUAGCGUCGGCGCGGAAGGGGUCGAUACCUCCCACACCUAGUGAGCAUCGUUUACAGCUAGGACUAC
rnacentral:misc_RNA from 1 species